AUCAGGUGCGGUAGUGCCGUUCUGGAAAGCAGUAGGGAUGACGUACAUAUCCUACUCGAACAUCUGCGUGAAUCUGGUGAGGAACUGCCUCAAGGAGCCAUUCAAAUCCGAAGCCCUCACUCAUGAGAAGGUCCAUUUCUCUAUUUCCAAAUGGGAUAAUGGCGUUUCCCAAAAGCCUAGUUUGAGAUAGAGGUGUUGGCAAUUUUGGGGUCUUUUUAGAGGGUAGUGCUUGAAGAUUAAUGCUAGAUAUGGUAUCCAAGAAAUAUAGCAAAAGAAGAAGAAGAUGAUGAAGAAUUAGAGACCCGCCUACCAAGAUAGUAUUGUA